rnacentral:rRNA from 1 species
UGGGGAAUAUUGGACAAUGGGGGCAACCCUGAUCCAGCCAUGCCGCGUGAGUGAUGAAGGGCCUUCGGGUUGUAAAGCUCUUUUGGCGGGGGACGAUGAUGACGGUACCCGGCAGAAUAAGCCCCGGCUAACUUCGUGCCAGCAGCCGCGGUAAGACGAAGGGGGCUAGCGUUGUUCGGAAUUACUGGGCGUAAAGCGAGUGUAGGCGGUUGCCGUAGUCAGGUGUGAAAGCCUUGAGCUCAACUCAAGAAAUGCACUUGAUACUGGGUGACUAGAGGACCGGGAGAGGAUAGUGGAAUUCCCCAGUGUAGUGGUGAAAUACGUAGAGAUUGGGAAGAACACCAGUGGCGAAGGUGGCUAUCUGGACGGUUACUGACGCUAAGACUCGAAAGCGUGGGGGAGCAAACAGGAUUAGAUACCCUGGUAGUCCACGCCGUAAACGAUGGGUGCUAGACGUUGGCGAGCUUGCUCGUCAGUGUCGCAGCUAACGCGUUAAGCACCCCGCCUGGGGAGUACGGCCGCAAGGUUGAAACUCAAAGGAAUUGACGGGGGUCAUAGCUG